AAUCCAUAGGUUAAUGAGGCGAACCGGGGGAACUGAAACAUCUAAGUACCCCGAGGAAAAGAAAUCAACCGAGAUUCCCCCAGUAGCGGCGAGCGAACGGGGAGGAGCCCAGAGCCUGAAUCAGCAUGUGUGUUAGUGGAAGCGUCUGGAAAGGCGCGCGAUACAGGGUGACAGCCCCGUACACAAAAGCGCAUGUGCUGUGAGCUCGAUGAGUAGGGCGGGACACGUGGUAUCCUGUCUGAAUAUGGGGGGACCAUCCUCCAAGGCUAAAUACUCCUGACUGACCGAUAGUGAACCAGUACCGUGAGGGAAAGGCGAAAAGAACCCCGGCGAGGGGAGUGAAAAAGAACCUGAAACCGUGUACGUACAAGCAGUGGGAGCACAGGUUUACCUGUGUGACUGCGUACCUUUUGUAUAAUGGGUCAGCGACUUAUAUUCUGUAGCAAGGUUAACCGAAUAGGGGAGCCGUAGGGAAACCGAGUCUUAA
rnacentral:rRNA from 1 species